rnacentral:tRNA from 1 species
GCGCCAGUAGCUCAAUUGGCAGAGCAGCUGACUCUUAAUCAGCGGGUUGUAGGUUCAAGUCCUACCUGGCGUA